rnacentral:rRNA from 1 species
UACGAAGGGGGCUAGCGUUGUUCGGAUUUACUGGGCGUAAAGCGCACGUAGGCGGAAUGUUAAGUCAGGGGUGAAAUCCCGGGGCUCAACCCCGGAACUGCCUUUGAUACUGGCAUUCUCGAGUCCGGAAGAGGUGAGUGGAAUUCCGAGUGUAGAGGUGAAAUUCGUAGAUAUUCGGAGGAACACCAGUGGCGAAGGCGGCUCACUGGUCCGGUACUGACGCUGAGGUGCGAAAGCGUGGGGAGCAAACAGG